rnacentral:rRNA from 1 species
UGCUCUCGAUGGUAGUGUAUUGGACUACCAUGGCAGUCACGGGUAACGGAGAAUUAGGGUUCGAUUCCGGAGAAGGAGCCUGAGAAACGGCUACUACAUCUAAGGAAGGCAGCAGGCGCGUAAAUUACCCAAUCCUAAAUCAGGGAGGUAGUGACAAGAUAUAACAACGCGAUUAAAUGUCGCGAUUGUAGUGAGGGUAUUCUAAAAAUAGCUUCGAGUACGAUUGGAGGGCAAGUCUGGUGCCAGCAGCCGCGGUAAAUUCCAGCUCCAAUAGCGUAUAUUAAAGUUGCUGCAGUUAAAAAGCUCGUAGUUGAACUUCAUGAGCAGUAGGUAGCUUACUACCUGCUCUCUACCAGUCUUUCGACUGUUACUGUGAGAAAAUUAGAGUGUUUCAAGCAGGCUAUUGCAGGAAUACAUUAGCAUGGAAUAACGAAUGUACCUACAAUUUGGUUAAUUGUAGAUUACUAUUAAUAGGGACAGUUGGGGG